rnacentral:rRNA from 1 species
CUUACGGGUGGCAGCAGUGAGGCAUAUUGGUCAAUGGACGAGAGUCUGAACCAGCCAAGUAGCGUGAAGGAUGACUGCCCUAUGGGUUGUAAACUUCUUUUAUAAAGGAAUAAAACGACGCACGUGUGCCUUUAUGCAUGUACUUUAUGAAUAAAGAUCAGCUAACUCCGUGCCCGCAGCCGCGGUAAGACGGAGUAUCCGAGCGUUAUCCGGAUUUAUUGGGUUUAAAGGGAGCGUAGAUGGGUUGUUACGUCAGUUGUGCAAGUUUGCGGCUCAACCGUAAAAUUGCAAUUGAUACUGGCAGUCUUGAGUACAGUUGAGGUAAGCGGAAUUCGUGGUGUAGCGGUGAAAUGCGUAGAUAUCACGAAGAACCCCGAGUGCGAAGGCAGCUUACUAAACUGUGACUGACAUUGAUGCUCGAAAGUGUGGGUAUCAAACAGGAUUAGAUACCCUAGUAGUC